AUGAAAGAGCUGGCCUAUAAAGAAAACAACCUUGAAGGAGCCAGAGGAAUCAACCCUAAAGGAACCAAGGAACCCGACGAUUUACACAUCGGCAGCAGAGGUCAAAAUCAAGAAACACCGCGAAGAGCCUCACAAUAUCAUGAGAUAAUCGAACUCAUUAUGAAGAGUUCAAUAGUCGUGCUCGUAAGGAAUGGGAGGACAUACGACAAGCAUCACAAAUUUCAUCAACUCGCCACAUUGCUUCCAACGUCAAAUAUAUUCCAGCCAUCAGCUGACAAUUAUAUGUUGGUUAUGCCACAGCCAAGUAUGGAGAAUCUCAAGCUGACUCCUCGAGUCGUCUUAAGACUUGGGGGCUACACAAAUAUUACUCGACAGAUUUGGCCGGUUUUCACAAAUUCAAGAACCCCGGGUCAUUGCGAGGAAGACAACCUGGUCCCGGGGGUUGCUGCCGUAUUGGCGGAAAAUUAA
rnacentral:rRNA from 1 species